CCUACGGGGGGCAGCAGUGAGGAAUAUUGGUCAAUGGACGAGAGUCUGAACCAGCCAAGUAGCGUGAAGGAUGACUGCCCUAUGGGUUGUAAACUUCUUUUAUAUGGGAAUAAAAUGUUCCACGUGUGGGAUUUUGUAUGUACCCUAUGAAUAAGGAUCGGCUAACUCCGUGCCAGCAGCCGCGGUAAUACGGAGGAUCCGAGAGUUAUCCGGAUUUAUUGGGUUUAAAGGGAGCGUAGGUGGAUUGUUAAGUCAGUUGUGAAAGUUUGCGGCUCAACCGUAAAAUUGCAGUUGAAACUGGCAGUCUUGAGUACAGUAGAGGUGGGCGGAAUUCGUGGUGUAGCGGUGAAAUGCUUAGAUAUCACGAAGAACUCCGAUUGCGAAGGCAGUUCACUGGACUGCAACUGACACUGAGGCUCGAAAGUGUGGGUAUCAAACAGGAUUAGAUACCCCUGUAGUC
rnacentral:rRNA from 1 species